CUUAUACUCCCUUCGUUCGGAAUUACUUGUCGCAGAAAUGGAUGUAUCUAGACGUAUUUUAGUUCUAGAUACAUCCAUUUCCGAGACAAGUAAUUCCGAACGGAGGGAGUACCUU
rnacentral:pre_miRNA from 1 species